rnacentral:rRNA from 1 species
GACGAACGCUGGCGGCGUGCUUAACACAUGCAAGUCGAGCGAUGAAGUUCCUUCGGGGAUGGAUUAGCGGCGGACGGGUGAGUAACACGUGGGUAACCUGCCUCAUAGAGGGGAAUAGCCUUUCGAAAGGAAGAUUAAUACCGCAUAAGAUUGUAGUACCGCAUGGUACAGCAAUUAAAGGAGUAAUCCGCUAUGAGAUGGACCCGCGUCGCAUUAGCUAGUUGGUGAGGUAACGGCUCACCAAGGCGACGAUGCGUAGCCGACCUGAGAGGGUGAUCGGCCACAUUGGGACUGAGACACGGCCCAGACUCCUACGGGAGGCAGCAGUGGGGAAUAUUGCACAAUGGGGAAAACCCUGAUGCAGCAACGCCGCGUGAGUGAUGACGGUCUUCGGAUUGUAAAGCUCUGUCUUCAGGGACGAUAAUGACGGUACCUGAGGAGGAAGCCACGGCUAACUACGUGCCAGCCGCCGCCGUAA